rnacentral:tRNA from 1 species
AGUAGAGUCAGCUAAAUAAGCUUUUGGGCCCAUACCCCAAACAUGUUGGUUUAAAUCCUUCCCUUACUA